UACGUAGGGCGCAAGCGUUAUCCGGAAUUAUUGGGCGUAAAGAGCUCGUAGGCGGUUUGUCGCGUCUGCCGUGAAAGUCCGGGGCUCAACUCCGGAUCUGCGGUGGGUACGGGCAGACUAGAGUGAUGUAGGGGAGACUGGAAUUCCUGGUGUAGCGGUGAAAUGCGCAGAUAUCAGGAGGAACACCGAUGGCGAAGGCAGGUCUCUGGGCCGAAAUUGACGCUGAGGAGCGAAAGCGUGGGGAGCAAACAGG
rnacentral:rRNA from 1 species